GGCAGCACAUAACAUAAAAACAUUAUAUAUCUACAAGUGUGUUUACUAAAUACAUGUAUUAUUAUGCUAAUGUAAUUUAAUUGAUAAAGGUUUUUUUUAUUUAAGAAAAUCUGAGCAUCACUCAAAAUAACUGUCAACAUGUUUGUCAACUAAACAUGUUUUGUAAACGUUAUACAUUUUAUAAAAAUAUUUAAUAUUUUUAUUAUUGAUAAAGUAUAAAGAACAAAUCAGUGUGAAAACGCAGAUUAUAAAAAGUACAUAAAGUGCCAGCAGAGGAUCCAAAAUAAUGAAAAAAAAAAAAAAACAUCCAAUGCAACUUGGAAAUUGUAGUCAAAAUACAUCUACAGCAGCAUGCUAAAGCAGUACCAACGCCAGGGCAAAAGACUCAAAUUCCCAGAAUGCACCUGCACCCACCCAUUCAUUCCCACCAAUCAGGAUCAACGGCAUUUUUCAAACCGCUACUGACUCGUUUUCAUGCUAAACAGUACGGCUGAGAGGUCAUGUACCAUGUGGUCGACCUUGCUGACGCUGAAGAGGUUUCUGUGUAAAAAUGAUGACAUUGAGACAAACAGACCAGUUCUGGCUGCCGUGGAGGUCAACACACCACUGAUCUACUGGCUGCCCUUCAACGUGAUGCCCAGCCGAUGCCUGACCACCGACGGAACUAGGGCUGCACGAUAAGUCGCAUGUGUUUGUCAGGCGCAUCUCCUCAGUAAUGCCGGUUCCUUGAUUAGUAU